rnacentral:rRNA from 1 species
UACAGAGGUCCCAAGCGUUGUUCGGAUUCACUGGGCGUAAAGGGUGUCGUAGGCGGUCGGGUAAGUCUGAUGUGAAAUCUCACAGCUUAACUGUGAAACUGCAUUGGAUACUAUCCGGCUUGAGGAAUGGAGGGGAGACUGGAAUACUUGGUGUAGCAGUGAAAUGCGUAGAUAUCAAGUGGAACACCUGUGGCGAAAGCGGCUCACUGGACCACAACUGACGCUGAUGCACGAAAGCUAGGGGAGCAAACAGG